UACGGAGGGUGCAAGCGUUAAUCGGAAUUACUGGGCGUAAAGCGCGCGUAGGCGGCUCGAUCAGUCGGGGGGGAAAUCCCUGGGCUCAACCUGGGAACUGCAUUCGAUACUGUCGAGCUAGAGUGUGGGAGAGGGUAGUGGAAUUCCCGGUGUAGCGGUGAAAUGCGUAGAUAUCGGGAGGAACAUCAGUGGCGAAGGCGACUGCCUGGCCCAACACUGACGCUGAGGUGCGAAAGCGUGGGUAGCAAACAGG
rnacentral:rRNA from 1 species